rnacentral:rRNA from 1 species
AUUGAACGCUGGCGGCAGGCAUAAAACAUGCAAGUCGAACGAGUGGCGGACGGGUGAGUAAUGUCUGGGAAACUGCCUGAUGGAGGGGGAUAACUACUGGCAACGGUAGCUAAUACCGCAUACCAUCAGAUGUGCCCAGAUGGGAUUAGCUAGGAGGUGGGGUAACGGCUCACCUAGGCGACGAUCACUAGCUGGUCUGAGAGGAUGACAAGCCACACUGGAACUGAGACACGGUCCAGACUCCUACGGGAGGCAGCAGUGGGGAAUAUUGCACAAUGGGCGCAAGCCGGAGGCAGCCAUGCCGCGUGUGUGAAGAAGGCCUUCGGGUUGUAAAGCACUUUCAGCGGGGAGGCGUUACCCGCAGAAGAAGCACCGGCUAACUCCGUGCCAGCCGCCGCGGUAAUAC